AUUGAACGCUGGCGGCAGGCUUAACACAUGCAAGUCGAGCGGAGAUGAGGUGCUUGCACCUUAUCUUAGCGGCGGACGGGUGAGUAAUGCUUAGGAAUCUGCCUAUUAGUGGGGGACAACAUUCCGAAAGGAAUGCUAAUACCGCAUACGCCCUACGGGGGAAAGCAGGGGAUCUUCGGACCUUGCGCUAAUAGAUGAGCCUAAGUCGGAUUAGCUAGUUGGUGGGGUAAAGGCCUAGCAAGGCGACGAUCUGUAGCGGGUCUGAGAGGAUGGUCCGCCGCACUGGGACUGAGACACUGCCCAGACUCCUACGGGAGGCAGAAUUGGGGAAUAUUGGACAAUGGGCGGAAGACUGAUCCAGCCAUGCCGCAUGUGUGAAGAAGGCCUUUUGGUUGUAAAGCACUUUAAGCGAGGAGGAGGCUACCUGGAUUAAUACUCUAGGAUAGUGGACGUUACUCGCAGAAUAAGCACCGGAUAACUCUGUGCCAGCAGCCGCGGUAACAC
rnacentral:rRNA from 1 species